AAAGUUCAUACUCGACAAUAUGAAUCCAGAUAUAAUUCCGUCUAACGUGAACAACGGCUUUCGUUUGCCCGACAAUCUUCGCAGUUUUUGGUGGAGCCGCGACAUCGCUAAAAUCAACAGCGAGAUUCUGCGAGGCGAACCGAUCAACCACACUCGUAACUUUCCAGACGUGUUUAGAGAUUUCCCGUCCUUCACGUCUCAAGAUCAGAUCAACGCGCAGCAACAGGUACGUUCGGAGUUCGUGGCUUUUCGAGAGGCGAUCAAACGCGAAGUUCUGGUGAAGAAUAAGGAGCUAGUGCUUUUCGAUUUCACCAACCAAGUCACGGACUACAGGACUAUCAAAAAGCACGACAUACAUCCCGCACAUUUUUUAAAGGAAACCGUUCAAGCUUUGGACAACUACGUCACCGCUUACAGAGAGGGGGGUAUACCCGUCGCGAACUUUUUAAGGUUGGCGAAAGAAGAAAUCUUCGGAGCGGAUUUAGGAAGGCUGAGGAGACAAACGGAUAAUCACCCCGUCAUAUCGUUUAUACGAGACGCGUGGUCUAACCUGCCCGAUGUGAGAGAGAUGCCUUCUUCUCGUAAAGAGACGGUCGGACAACCCGGGAAUUUGUCUCAGUAUACGAAAAAUAUAAAAUACGAAGGAGUGUCGGAAGAAGAAAGCCGACAACAAUUGCUGUUCGCUUACAUCAACUUUUUCGCGGACGUUAUAUGCGCGAUCAAAGGAUACAAGUUCAGGAACUUUCAAUUCAACGUGCACAGUUGGGGAGUGUACAGUCUCAACCUGACCAUAGGAUCCAAGAUAGGAGCCUCGCCCCUGGAAGAAAACCUGAUAAAGUUUAAUUCUUUCAUACUCAUGUUUAACGAGGAGUUCAUGGGAAAAGGAGCCACGGGUUGUAUGUACAGACCAUUUUUCACCACCAAAAACACGAGCAUACCCCCUUACAUUCUCAGCGACGAAUCGAUCGACGGUACGUUUUGGAUGACGCCGAUCAUGGGUUCCGCGUGCGUGAAUUACUCUACGAGCAAGCAAGCCGCCGUUUAUUUAAACUUGCUCGACGAUUGUAAGACUUUGCUUCCUCCCAGCAAUUACACUUACGUCGACGCUUACGGUCAGCUGCAGAACGUGCUCAAAAAAUCGAAACCCCUUCAAUUCAAAACGGACUCGGACCCGAGCUGGCCCGAAAUCUGCGCGCCCUUGCUCGUCAUCGGACUAAACUGGCCCUGUCAGGGCGUUCAACGCGGAGAAGACAGGUUUCUACGUUGGAAAAAACGAGGCGAGUAUCCGGAAGUGGGAGCCGCAUUCGCCAACGCGCUCACGCAAUUCUUCGGAAAAUUGAUGCUAAAGGACGACAGAUUGGACGGCGUUUUAAAAAAGUUGCUUCAAUUUUACAAGACGAAGUGCCCGGUUCCGUUUUAUUUGCAAGUUUUUUAUAACGAACAACCCGAAUUUCAAAACGGAGGAGUGAGACAAGAACCCCUGUUUAAAUCCGUCGCCAACGAACUCGGACUACAACAAAACGACAAUCUCGUCAGAAAGUACGGCAUGAUCAGCGAGGCGAUUAAUCUCAACACCGACGUGGGAUCCAACAACUUUACUUACAGGGUGGACCUUCUUAAAAACAUCAUCGAUUUCAACGAUAUCGUCACCUCUUUUAAGACUCAUACCGGCAGAAACGAAAGAACCGAUUUGUUGAGAGAGAUCGCGCUCAGAGGACUCAUGAAGGUCGAAGGAACCGUGUUUUUCAAUUUGUAUCUCGUCAAAGGAGAAGAGGUUAAAGUGAACAGGCCGGCCGCGACAGAUCUCAUGAUCAGCGAAUUGUUUAACAAGAAGAUUUCCUUCGAUCCGGGCAAGGGAGAGUUUUUGAUAAAGAAGAUUAAAAAAAAUUCGCUUCAGAUCCUGAGACAGAAAUUUGAACAGUUGGGUCUGGUCUACCUUAGCAAAGAAGACGGCGCUCCGAAUCUAGGCGGUCUGGGUCCGGACGGGGUAGGGGGAGGACAAGAAGUUGAAAUGGAGCUCGGAGGGCAACAACCGCGAGGAGAGUUUAUUCCUAACUUGCCAGAAGGAGCACCGCCUCAACAACCCCCUCCCCCUCCCCUUCCUCCUGUAGACGCGGAACCUGUAGCGCCCGAGAUGAUACGUAAGAAACGACAGAGACGAGCAGAAGUUGACGGAAGAGAAGAAGAAGAAGAAGAACGAGAAGAACCUCGCGCUAAAGUGGUGAGGGUUGAACGAGAAAAGUUCGAAUUCGAACGUCCUACUCCUUACAACCCCGACGUUUUCAAGGAGCUGACGGUCGACGAAAAAUUAAACGAAGAAUUGCACGACGAGGGUAUGGCUCUUCUCGAACCGGUUGAAAGUAUGGAACCUCGUAAAUUUAAAGCGCCGACUCUGCCGUUCACGAAACCUAAACCGAAAAAAGCUUCUAAAAACGUAAAGAUACCGCAAGCUCUUCUCACAAAACCGACGUCAAAACCUUUGGAAUGGAAAUCGCUCUUUCCCGCCGAAAGCGCCAAAAAAAUGAGAGAGGAGUUACGAAUUAAGAAAGAAAAUGAAAGCGUGCUUCAGGAAGGCAGAGAAGCGCUCAUGGAAGAAAGCGUAGAAAGUACAGAACCUGUAUGGAGUGACUUGGCCGCCGCUAUCGUAAAAAAUAGAGAGCCCACGCCUUCUUCUCCUCCUCCGCGAGCAGUUGUAGAAAGCGUGAAGUCGUUCGUACCACCGCCUCCCACGCAAGAAUUGGAUUCCGGAGAAGCCAUGGCCAAAGCCCUGGGAACCAAAUUAACGAAAAUUAAAAAAUCCAAGAAGAAAGCCGUGGGAAAGAUAGACCUCAGACCUAAACCGAGUAAAAAAGAAAGAGAGAGGUUAGCCGACUUGCAACAAAAAGAAGAGGACGAGUUUUCUAGAAAUUUGUUAGAACCUCCCGCGCGAACAGAACCUUACGAAGAUCUAGAGAUCUCUUCCGCCGAAGAACCUCGACCCCCUUCUCGCCCCCCUUCCGGAGUUCCAGCGCAACCUCUCGUCGUUCCUUAUCCUUCCGUUCCGAUAGAGGAUGUUUUACCGAUUAAUCGACCGGCGGAGAAACCGAGGACCAAGGGAAAAAUGAGGCGCGUGCUUACGAAACAAGGAAGAGAAAAAGAAGAGGAAAACGAAUUCGUGGACGAACUUUUGGAAGCCGGAGAAGAGUCUAUGGAACCGAUUGAAGUAGAUUUGACCACGGUGGGAGAACUCCCUCCACCGGUUGCCAAGCCGUCUCCAUACCCUCCUCCCCUCGUCGUUCCCAAACCGACAACGCCUCUUCUCCUCCCUAAGACAAAAGAAGAACAACGCAAACCCAGACCUAAAUUGGCGGACGUCUCACGUCGCAAACUCACUCCGGCCGGGUUAGAAAGGCAAAGACGAGAAGACGAAACGCGCGAUGAAUUUUUAGAACGCGUUGAAUCUUUGGAGCCCAUGGAAGAAGAUUUAAGAGUGAGGGGAGAAAUCCCCGCCGCGGCUCCUAAACCUUCACCCGUCCCGCCUCCUUUUGUGAUUCCAAAACCGUCUCAACCGCUAGAAGCGCCAGUAAAAAAGACUAGCGCUGGAGCCAGGCCUAAAUUACAAGACGUUGCUAGAAUUAAACUCACUAAAGUCGGAUUGGAAAAACGGAAAGAAGAAGAAAGAAUUCGUGAUGAAUAUUUGGAGCCCGUCGUUUCCAACGAACCGACCCUCACGGUUUUAUCUAAAGAGAAACCUUCGUCGAGAAAAGUAAAAAAGAAGGUAACCCCGGCCAUACCGCAAGCCUUACUUCCCGGAGCUAAAUUGCGACCGCUAGACAUAAGCAUAGCCGAAGAAUUAGAAGAGGAGGUGAACCAAAACAUAGCGGACGAUAUGAUCGAAGAUUUGACGCCCAGAUUACCGCCUCCUUCGCUGCCGGCAAAUCUGAGAGAAGGAUAUAUCCCUCCUCCCAUAGACAUAACUAAAGAUCUGGAAGAGGAGAUUGAUCAAAAUAUAGCCGAUGACGCUUUAGAAAGAGGACUGGAAGCCGCAAGGAGCGCACCUCCUCCUCCGCGCGUUCCUGAAAAUUUAAUGCCGGGGGUUAAGCUAGCGCCUCUGGGACCUCUCGGUUUGGAACCUCCUCCACCACAGCUUCCUAAAGAGUUAAUGCCGGGGGUUAAGCUAGCGCCGCUCGGACCUCUCGGUUUAGAGGAAGAUAUGGAAGCGGGCGUACAGAAAACCGUAGAAGAAGGCGGGGAAACGAUCAUAGACAUGACGCCUGGAAGUAAGAGAAGAAUCAUAAGAAUCGAUACUGAACGAACGAAGAGAACGAUUCCAAAAGAAUUCAAAAAGUUUUU
rnacentral:sRNA from 1 species